rnacentral:rRNA from 1 species
UACGUAGGGGGCAAGCGUUGUCCGGAAUUAUUGGGCGUAAAGAGCGUGUAGGCGGUCCGGCAAGUCAGCUGUGAAAGUCAAGGGCUCAACCCUUGAAUGCCGGUUGAUACUGUCGGGCUAGAGUCCGGAAGAGGCGAGUGGAAUUCCCGGUGUAGCGGUGAAAUGCGCAGAUAUCGGGAGGAACACCAAUGGCGAAGGCAGCUCGCUGGGACGGUACUGACGCUGAGACGCGAAAGCGUGGGGAGCAAACAGG